UCAGCUCCGCUCGAUCUUCAAGUUACUGACUCUCUGAAGCUUCAUCAGAAAAAUUGUGUCAGUCCCUCCUCUGCCCUGCCCCUGCAGCCGUAUGAGGAAAUCCUGGUGACAUCACCUUGCUCACUUGUUAGGACAAGAACCAGAAAUAAGUACAGAUCCAUGGAAGACCUUUCCUCAGUUUGCUAUUUCCCGACUGUCAGUCCCCUUAUAUGGAAGAUAAUUACAUUGUCCUGCAUUUUCCCACACUGCUCUACGGUCCUGAGGUUUUCCUGAGGCUGAGUUCCCUGUUUGCAGCCUGUAACUCAGAUCUACUUAAUGCUACAACAAAGAGAGGUGAAAGCUGCGUCGUGCUAAACAAUCAGAAGAAAGAAAGCCAGGAUAUCGUAUUUAGGAGAAAAAUCAAAGAAAAAUUGUAUAAGAGCCUCAGGGGACAGUAGAAGUA